rnacentral:lncRNA from 1 species
UGCACUUAUAGCACCUGGCUUUCUUCUUGCUCCUGCUCUUUCGAGACUUUGACCAUCCUUUUGACUUGCUUCUUUCCCUUCCUCUUCCUGAUCUCUCUUCCACGGCCAAGCCUUCCUAGGUAUCACUUUUCUUGAUCAACUUCUUUCACUGUUCAUUGGACCGCAGCACUGAGACCAUGUCUUCAUACUCCAGGGUCUCCUU